GCCGCCGCGGGCGGGAGCGCCCGGGCCGCCCGCCCGGAGCGCGCAGUGCGCAGGCGCCCGGCGGGCCGUUCGAAGGCGGGGACGAGGCUUAAAUACCAAGUGAAUAAGGAUGUCAAUUGUCACAGUGCAGCUUGGGCAGUGUGGGAACCAGAUUGGGCAGGAGGUGUUCAGUGCUCUCUGCAGUGACAUCCGUGGCACCCACGGGCUGUGUUCCAAGAAGGAGAAUGAAUCCUACCAAGAUUCCUGCAAGGAACGUUUCUUCUGCGAGGAGGAGUCUGCAGUACCUGUUGCCCGGGCUGUGCUUGUUGACAUGGAGCCCAAAGUGAUCAGCCAGACCUUAUCCAUGGCUGCCAGGUCUGGCCACUGGAAGUACAGCAGCCACUCACACUUCUGCCAGAAGCAAGGAUCUGGGAACAACUGGGCCAACGGUUACUCUGUCCAUGGGCCCAGACACAAAGAAGCAAUCAUGAACCUGGUGCAGAAAGAAGCAGAGAAAUGUGAUCGACUCGGGGGAUUUUUCACAAUCAUGAGCAUGGCUGGGGGCACAGGAUCAGGCCUGGGAGCAUUUGUGACCCAGUGUUUGAGAGAUGCUUUUCCAACCUCCUUCAUACUGAACCACGUGGUCUGGCCCUAUGGCACUGGGGAGGUCAUUGUUCAAAACUACAACUCUGUUUUGACUCUGUCGCAUCUGUACCACUCAUCAGAUGCCCUUCUUGUCCAUGAAAAUGAUGUCAUCCACAAGAUCUGUGCCCAGCUGAUGAAUAUCAAACAGAUUUCCUUCAGGGAUGUCAAUCAAGUCAUUGCUCACCAGCUGGGCAGCGUUUUCCAGCCCACUCACACAGCAGGAGGGGGCUCAGGCUACAGCAGAAACCCUUUAGGAGAUUUAAUGGAGACGUUGGUCCCACAUCCCGAAUUCAGGAUGCUGGGCCUGAGGAACAUCCCCCAGAUGCCUGAGAGCUCCCUGCCCUACAGCACCUUCAGCUGGCCUGGCCUCAUCAAACACCUCAGGCAGAUGCUCAUUGCUAAUGCUCCAAUGGAGGAAGGUAUUGAUUGGCAAGUACGACCACCACACCCAUCCUCCAUCCCCUCCACAAACAAACCCCUGCACUUCAACACUUCCAUUGCCAACCUGGUUAUCCUGAGAGGAAAAGAUGUGCACAGCGUGGACUUGGGAAGUUUCCAAGAUCCCUCGUUAUACACAUCAUGGCUAAACCCUCAGGAUGCUUUUAAUGCAUGGAAAACUCCCAGAGCAUUUAACAAGUAUGAAAAGUCUGCUGCUUUGGUCAGCAACAGCCAGUUCCUGCUGAAACCUCUUGACAGCAUCGUAGGAAAAGCUUGGAAUAUGUUUGCUUCCAAAGCUUACCUUCACCAGUACACAAAGUUUGGAAUCCAAGAGGAAGAUUUCCUGGACUGCUUCACAACCCUGGAACAAGUUAUCUCCAGUUACACCAAUCUGUGAUUGAUUUCUUUGUUAAGAUGGUCUGAAAUAGAGAUUUUCUGAAAGAACCAAGCUGGAAAACCUUCCAUCAACUUCCUGAAAAGAAACUGCAGGAAAGAUUGCACAAGAAGUUCAGACAAACAGCACAGGCAAUUCGAGUUUGCAGGAACAAAGGGUCAGGAAAGGAGACCGUGAUCCUAAACAGAAUUUCCAGUAUCAGAAAUGAGAAUAGGUAACUCCAUGAAAAAAUGGCCAAGUCCCAGGAAUCCUUUUCCUUCUCACUUCAGGACAGGUAAAAGAGUUUUUCAGAAGGCUAAGGACAGGUAAGUUCCCUGAGAAACAAGGAAGAGAGCAAUGGGUCAUUGUAGUGCUGUAGCAAUAAAUAGCUUUAUUGCAGAAAUAACCUCAUGUUAUCUCUCUGUAUUCACAAUUCUGAGCAUGAAGCAAACACAGCAGGUGCUCAGUGAACCUAUGAAUGAUAUAGAACCAUAUUUGUUAUUUCUUUAUGGCACUUCAGGCUUAUGGAGCAGGAUAUUUGGUCUUUUUUGUUUGUUUGAUGGCAGAAUUUGUGCCACGUCAGGAAACACAGCACACAGGUAAGAUGUCUAACCCCAAAGCAAAAAUUCAAAUUUUAGCUGCUAUAAUCCCUUACUGCCCUGGAGCAGAGGCUGACAGGAAUUGUUUUAGGCAUCUCUUAGCUUCUUCCUGUGAAUGUUUUUCAGUCCUGAAAUUCUCACACCCUUUCCCAAACUCAGCCUUCAUUUUUUUUUGAUCUAUGAUGGGAUUCCUUUAUUUUUUCC